ACAUUAUGUUUGAGAGCAGAUACAAGAUCCAUGCUCCUAAUAGAUGGUACGGUUUUAUUUGUUGGUAUUUUUGUUUCGUUGAUUUUCUGGAACGUAGAUGACAAUGAUAAAAGGGCUAGCUAGUGAAUCCAUCAGGAUUCGGAUGCCCAAAAUGACGGCUGCUCCAGUACACACCACCCAUAGCUGACAGUUACACGUCGAGAUUUUCAGAGGAUAAGCUGAGGUACAAGAAUUGUCAGAUCCUCGCUGGAGAGAAAUGUUUUGAUGCACCAAAAUGCUGCGGCUGCAAUGAACGCUUGGCGUACCCUAGAGGCUGAAUAACUGCCGAUCGCUGGCUCAUACAGAAUUUCAUCCGCUAUCGCUUUUCCAGAAAAUUAUUUAUAUGUACAUAUAAAUUAGCUUUAAUAAAGAUAUCAACAUA
rnacentral:misc_RNA from 1 species